CCUACGGGUGGCUGCAGUGAGGAAUAUUGGUCAAUGGGCGAGAGCCUGAACCAGCCAAGCCGCGUGAGGGAUGAAGGUUCUAUGGUUCGUAAACCUCUUUUAUAAGGGAAUAAAGUGUGGGACGUGUCCUAUUUUGUAUGUACCUUAUGAAUAAGGAUCGGCUAACUCCGUGCCAGCAGCCGCGGUAAUACGGAGGAUCCGAGCGUUAUCCGGAUUUAUUGGGUUUAAUGGGUGCGUAGGCGGCCUUUUAAGUCAGCGGUGAAAGUCUGUGACUCAACCAUAGAAUUGCAUUUGAAACGGGGAGGCUUGAGUAUGUGUGAGGCAGGCGGAAGUCGUGGUGUAGCGGUGAAAUGCUUAGAUAUCACGCAGAACCCCGAUUGCGAAGGCAGCCUAC
rnacentral:rRNA from 1 species